rnacentral:lncRNA from 1 species
GGCCGUAAUUAAAGAUAAAAGAGACAAAAAGGACUAAAUUAUAACGCGCAUGAAAAGCGGAUGAUUGAAUAGGGAAAUAACCCCUUGUCGAUUAAACGACGUCAUUCCAACGAAGUCAAAGCGUAUGGUCUAGGGACCAAACUGAAACAGAAGCAAAAUUCGAUACCAAAAUUGCAAAUAUAAAAAAACUGCAUUGAAUACGCCGCAAAGGAGGGAGGACCUAUGGCAUAAAUAUCCCCCUAAGGCAAAACGUGCGGAUCCUUCCCCCUGGGCCGGGUCACCGCGCGGGUCAAGGGGUCUCAAAACGGCGCCGUUUUGCUGACUCAUUGCUUUGGCAUCAAACGACGUCCUUCCCUUCAACAGAUAAAGGCUAAACUAAGCCCUAAAAAAACAUAAAUGUUCAUUUUGUAUUGUAGAAAAAAGGGGAACGCUGCCUCCGUUCUUCAACCACUGUCACAACUCGACCCCCUCAGAUCCCCCUCUGCUCCGAUUGCGACAAGAGAGAUGGGGAUCCGGCCGAUAUAACGAAGGUAAACCCUUCCUUCUCUGCCACCUUGAAAGCCAGAACUCUCCCCUCUCUCAUUCCGAUUCGGACAGAGUAGGGGAUGGCUCCAACGGUGCGCAAAGGUAAGAUCCUCCCCCUCUUUCUCUUUUAUUUUCUAUAUAUAUAUAUUAUUGCGUAUGAUUAAUGGCUAACAGAGAAGGAAAGAAAAGAACCUAAAAGAACAGAGCGG